rnacentral:misc_RNA from 1 species
GGUGGUUGUAAUGUGUUAUAUGUGGCUUUCUUCCUCCCAGACUCUGUUUCCGGUGGCGCUUGUUACCAAUGCUUCGGUUCAUGUGCUAAUGUACGCUUACUACUUUCUGUGUACCUUGGGAUUUCGUCCAUGGUGGAAGAGAUUGGUAACGAAGUGUCAAAUUGUACAGUUCGUUUUCAGUUUCCUGAUUUCGGGUUUGAUGCUGUAUUAUCACUUUACCGGGUCGGGUUGCUCCGGGAUCCAUGGAUGGUGCUUCAAUGCUGUAUUCAAUGCUUCCCUUUUGGCACUCUUCCU